UUUAAAAUAAAAGAAGAUAUAGAUAGGGUAGAAAAGGGGUUAGUCCAUCAACGGUAAAGCCCAUUUAAAUUUUUUCAUAUCGAAGGAAAGUCAGGACUAGGCGACAAAAAGGAUAAACAUAAAUUAAAUGAGAGAAUAUUAGAAAUAUGAAGAAAUAGAGGAUCAUCUAUUCUUUGAAUGUCCAUACGCUAAACGUAUCUGGAGAGCUUCGGGUAUUUCAAAUAGGAUAAUUAAUAGCUCCUCCUCAUCGUUGGAAGAUAAAGUAUCUGAAUGUCUGGAAAGC
rnacentral:lncRNA from 1 species